GACUUCGUGGUGCAACGUUAGCGCAUCUGGCGCCAGAUCAGGAGGUUGCGAGUUCAAAUCACGUUGGGCUCA